AGAAUUUGAUCUUGGUUCAGAUUGAACGCUGACGGCGUGGAUGAGGCAUGCAAGUCGCACGAACAAACCACUUCGGUGGGAUGUUAGUGGCGAAAGGGUUAGUAAUACAUGGGUAACGCAACUCUGACUUUGGAAUAACGCCUGGAAACGGGCGCUAAUACCGAAUGAGGUGGAGUAAGGCAUCUUACUUUUAUCAAAGGAGGGGAUCUUCGGACCUUCUGGUGAGAGAGCGGCCCAUGAGAUAUCAGCUUGUUGGUGUGGUAAUGGCGCACCAAGGCUAAGACGUCUAGGCGGAUUGAGAGAUUGACCGCCAACACUGGGACUGAGACACUGCCCAGACUCCUACGGGAGGCUGCAGUCGAGAAUCAUUCGCAAUGGGCGAAAGCCUGACGAUGCGACGCCGUGUGAACGAAGAAGGCCCUCGGGUUGUAAAGUUCUUUCGCCUGGGAGCAAGAGAUGUCGAUUAAUACUCGGCAAAUUUGAGAGUACCAGGUAAAGAAGCACCGGCUAACUCCGUGCCAGCAGCUGCGGUAAUACGGAGGGUGCAAGCGUUAAUCGGAUUUAUUGGGCGUAAAGAGCGCGUAGGCGGGAAUGCAAGUCAGAUGUGAAAUCCCGGAGCUUAACUCCGGAACUGCAUUAGAAACUGCAUUUCUUGAGGGUAGGCGGAGAAAACGGAAUUCCAUGUGUAGCGGUGAAAUGCGUAGAUAUAUGGAAGAACACCAGUGGCGAAGGCGGUUUUCUAGCUUACUCCUGACGCUGAGGCGCGAAAGCAAGGGGAGCGAACAGGAUUAGAUACCCUGGUAGUCCUUGCCGUAAACGAUGCAUACUAGGUGUAGCCGGACUCAACCCUGGCUGUGCCGUAGCUAACGUGUUAAGUAUGCCGCCUGGGGAGUACGCUCGCAAGGGUGAAACUCAAAAGAAUUGACGGGGACCCGCACAAGCAGUGGAGCAUGUGGUUUAAUUCGAUGCAACGCGAAGAACCUUACCCAGACUUGACAUGUAGCGGACAGCCGUAGAAAUACGGUCUCCCAUAGUGGUCGCUACACAGGUGCUGCAUGGCUGUCGUCAGCUCGUGCCGUGAGGUGUUGGGUUAAGUCCCGCAACGAGCGCAACCCUUGUCACUAGUUGCCAGCAUGUAAUGAUGGGAACUCUAGUGAGACUGCCCGGGUUAACCGGGAGGAAGGUGAGGAUGACGUCAAGUCCGCAUGGCCCUUAUGUCUGGGGCUACACACGUGCUACAAUGGCCGGUACAGAGGGCAGCAAAGCCGCAAGGUGAAGCAAAUCUCAUAAAACCGGUCCCAGUUCGGAUUGUAGUCUGCAACUCGACUACAUGAAGUUGGAAUUGCUAGUAAUGGCGUGUCAGCAAUAACGCCGUGAAUACGUUCCCGGGUCUUGUACACACCGCCCGUCACAUCAUGGAAGUUGGUUUCACCCGAAGCCGCUGACUCAACCGCAAGGAGAGAGGCGUCGAAGGUGGGGCUGAUAACUGGGAUGAAGUCGUAACAAGGUAGCCCUAUCGGAAGGUGGGGCUGGAUCACCU
rnacentral:rRNA from 1 species